CCCCCGUGCCGCCCCCGUGCCGCCCCCGUGCCGCCCCCCGCCUGCACCCGGUUCCGCACCUCGGUUCCGCACCUCCACCCGGCUCAGCCCUGGGCUACGCAGUGCGUUCUCCCGCCCGCAGCCCACCGCUGCCCCCCCCCCCGGAGCAUCUGGCGGAAAACAACCCUGCGAAAUCCCUGUGUUUACAGAAUCCCAGCUGCCAGUCCCUCCGAGGGGCGCUGAGAAGGGCGGGGGUGGCAACCCUGGAGUCGUCCGGGGCGUCCCGAUGGAUCGGAUGCUACCCCACAGCAACCCGCCGGGGUCUCCUUUACCCCGCGAGGAGGCCCUGUGGCCCUAGAGGGGCGAAGGUACGCCUGCGGGGCGGGGCGGGAAGCCUGUCAGGGCCUUUCCCAUCCGGAGCUUUCCUUAGGCAGCGGAGACAGGUGAAGUCCAGCGAACACGUCGUGAUGUCGACGACGGCAGCUACAUUUCCUGAGCAGCUAGAACGUGCUACAGAUUGAACCUCGCCACAUACACUACUAGGCAAGCAGUGAACCACCAAGCUACGUCCCCAGCCUCCUUUUAAACAUAAGAGAAGCCCGGAGAAGUUACACCAUUUCCCAGGGCACAGAGCAGGAAUCUGAGCAGGCAUCACAUGCAGCCAGGGCAGUGCCUGUGUUGGGGCCACACUGGUCUCUCCCCCCAGACUGGGUUCUCUACAGAGCUGAUCAUACAUCAUAGUAAUAGAAAUUCACACACACACACACACACACACACACACACACACACCAGUUAAAUGAGUCUGGGACUCUCACAAUAGACAUAAAAUACUAAAGGCUCGGAUGCAUCCCUUAACAUUACUUAGCUCGAGUGGCUUUAACCACAGAACCUAUUUGACACUAGCCCUUUUGAACAGUGUCCUAAAGAGCAUCAUUUAGGAAGGUGAGAUCAUAGAUAUCCACACCAGGAGGAAUGGUGAUGUCAUCUCACUCAUCUGCAUGGUGUUGCUGAUGCCAGAAUAGGAAUUUUAAAUGAAUAAGUAAUUUUCCUGUGGUCUUAUGGAAGCAGUGCCUGGAAUACAGAUCUCCUAAUUCCCUGUUCAGCAGGAUUAUGUUACUCCAUGGGUUAUAAAUAGCAAAUUGGUCCAGGACAAAUUCUUCAGAUCAAUUCUCUGACCUUCUGCCAGGUCAGAGAAAAGCACACAUUUCCCACAGAUUCUAGUACUCGAUAAAUGUUAAUUUAUGAGUAACAAUGAGGGAUAGAAGAAGAAUUAAUUAGCCAAGAAGCUUGGAUGAAGACAUGGAGAAGCACUGGUUAGCCAGAAGGCAAAAUAAGGAAUGCUGCAAAAUCCAAAAAGACCUCCUUUCCCUACAACCACACUGUCUUUCUCAAUGAAUUGAUGGGGUGAAAAAUUCUGUACAGCUGCAUAUGUGAACAUGUGUGUGUGUAUGUACGGGGGGGGGUGGUAGAGGAGAACUGAACAAGACACAGAGUGUCUAACUGCAGAUAUUGCCCCACUGAGCAGGCACAAGAGGGAGGGAUACCAAAGUCUAGUUCAGUAGUGGAACCACAAAGAAAUCCCAUGACUUUUAUGGCAAAGAUGAAGAAACUGUUUUCCGGCCCUUUCACCCAUCAGAAUAAAGUAUGGUCCUUUGCAGACCCUGAAUAGAUUGAUCAUGAAACUCUGACACAGUUAAAGCAGUUGUAGCUUCCAAGUUUCUCUCUGUGGUUGGCUUUGCUAGGUAGGGUAGUGUUAUGGUUUAGACUGUCUGUCGUGUCGAGGACUUGGUCCCAGAUGCAGCAGUAUUCAGAGAUGGAGCCUAGAAGGUGGCUGGACCUGAAGGUGCUGACCAUAUCAGUGGACUCAGGCACUGAGGCCUUUUAGCUGAGU
rnacentral:lncRNA from 1 species